AUAAAUAAAUAAAAUCUUAAAAAAGAAAGGAAGAAAUAGUACAACUUGCUUUAAAAUAGUAGCCCUCUUGGAUUUUUAAACCCAUUGAUCUAAUGACUGCACACCAUUUGUAGGUUUUAACCAAGAUCUGCAUAAUGGCUGAAAUGGGUUUUUCCCUAAAUUGACAGAAUAAUAUGAACUUUGAACCAUUGUAGAAUUAGUAAAAAUGAAAACAACAUUUUGGUGACUUGUCUUACGUGAAGAUGAUUAAUAGUAGAAAACACAGUUAAUCUAUCUGAAUGUGGAUGUGAAAAAGUAGGACUUAAGGAAAGCUUAACAUAUGCUUUAAGAUUAAUGUGUUUUAGGAAAUAAAAAUAUUCUAAAAUAUAUUAUAUUGGGUUGUAAAACAAUAUUAAGAGUAUUCUUGUAGUCCACUAGAUCUAAUCCAUUUCCUCAAUUUUGUCUUAAUGCCCAAAUUAGUUUCUUAUUGUUGUUGUAACAAGUUACUUUAAACUUGGUGGCUU